rnacentral:sRNA from 1 species
UUGACAGGUAGGAAGAAGUAGGUACAGCACAAACAGCAGCAGUGCAGCUUUCUCCACACUGCCCCACCCACCAAUGUACUGCAAUGGAGGCCACCUCCAAGACCAAAGGGGAAUUCAGAUUCCAUGGUUCCUUGAGACCUUGACCUCC